ACACUUUCCACGAACCAUUCAAGCGUGUUCGUCCCAGCCACCCUGCUGCCCCUGAACCUCCCCCUGUCCAGAAGGACGUACCCGGGCCAACAAGUGAAGCUGCAGAGGUGGAGGAUAAAGAAGCAAGUGAACCUAAGAAGAAAGAACCUGAAGCCGCUCUUAAAUCUGCCCUGUCUACUGCUUUUGCCAAAUACUCCGAUAAGAUCGGUAAGAAGAAAAGCAGAUCACAUGAUUCGGAAGAAGAGGAAACUGUGUUGACAACUGACAAUGGAUCACAAGCUGAAAUUAGGGAAUCCAGGGAAGGAACUCCAAGCUGAUAUUGCCUCGCCUUCUAACUUCUAACGCGAAUGUAAAACCCAUCGCGACUGAUUGAUCACGCGAAAUAGAUUAGGAAAUUGCCUUGGAUAUAACUCGGGGAAAGAACAAAUAUGAUUUAUCCCGGUCGAGCGUGGUUAAAGGUCGAAAAUAAUUUAUAAUUCCAUGUAUCAUUAUCUUGAUCUCAAUCAGUAUAUUAUGUUAUCAUAUUUCUGUUCAUGGUUACACAAUUUUUCAACAGCAUUGUAUUUCUAAAGGUGUGGUACAAGGCAAAUCAGUAUUAAGUGUUUCGAUA
rnacentral:lncRNA from 1 species